AAAGUUCCGUAAACAAGGUUUCCGUAGGUGAACCUGCGGAAGGAUCAUUACCGACUUAGGGCCCUCUGGGUCCAACCUCCCACCCGUGUCUAUCGUACCUUGUUGCUUCGGCGGGCCCGCCGUUUCGACGGCCGCCGGGGAGGCCUCGCGCCCCCGGGCCCGCGCCCGCCGAAGACCCCAACAUGAACGCUGUUCUGAAAGUAUGCAGUCUGAGUUGAUUAUCAUAAUCAGUUAAAACUUUCAACAACGGAUCUCUUGGUUCCGGCAUCGAUGAANAACGCAGCGAAAUGCGAUAAGUAAUGUGAAUUGCAGAAUUCAGUGAAUCAUCGAGUCUUUGAACGCACAUUGCGCCCCCUGGUAUUCCGGGGGGCAUGCCUGUCCGAGCGUCAUUGCUGCCCUCAAGCACGGCUUGUGUGUUGGGCCCCGUCCCCUCCCCCGGGGACGGGCCCGAAAGGCAGCGGCGGCACCGCGUCCGAUCCUCGAGCGUAUGGGGCUUUGUCACCCGCUCUGUAGGCCCGGCCGGCGCCAGCCGACACCCAACUUUUAUUUCUAAGGUUGACCUCGGAUCANGUAGGGAUACCCGCUGAACUUAAGCAUAUCAAUAA
rnacentral:rRNA from 1 species